AUUGAACGCUGGCGGCAGGCCUAAUACAUGCAAGUCGAGCGACCGGCGGACGGGUGAGGAAUGUAUGGGGACUGCCCCAUCGAGGGGGAUAACUACUGGAAACGGUAGCUAAUACCGCAUACUAUCGGAUAACCGAGAUGGGAUUCGCUAGUGGGUGAGGUAAUGGCUCACCUAGGCGACGAUCCCUAGCUGGUCUGAGAGGAUUAUCCGCCACACUGGGACUGAGACACGGCCCAGACUCCUACGGAGGCAGCAGUGGGGAAUAUUGCACAAUGGGCGCAAGCCUGAUGCAGCCAUGCCGCGUGUAUGAAGAAGGCCCUAGGGUUGUAAAGUACUUUCAGUCGGGAGGCGUUACCGACAGAAGAAGCACCGGCUAACUCCGUGCCAGCAGCCGCGGUAAUAC
rnacentral:rRNA from 1 species